UCCCUGGUGGCUCAGCUGGUAAAGAACCUGCCUGCAAUGCAGAAGAUCCUGGUUUGAUUCCAGGGUAGGGAA
rnacentral:tRNA from 1 species